GACGAACGCUGGCGGCGUGCCUAAUACAUGCAAGUCGAGCGAGCGGAACUAACAGAUUUACUUCGGUAAUGACGUUAGGAAAGCGAGCGGCGGAUGGGUGAGUAACACGUAGGGAAUCUGCCCCAUAGUCUGGGAUACCACUUGGAAACAGGUGCUAAUACCGGAUAAGAAAGCAGAUCGCAUGAUCAGCUUUUAAAAGGCGGCGUAAGCUGUCGCUAUGGGAUGGCCCCGCGGUGCAUUAGCUAGUUGGUAAGGUAAAGGCUUACCAAGGCGAUGAUGCAUAGCCGAGUUGAGAGACUGAUCGGCCACAUUGGGACUGAGACACGGCCCAAACUCCUACGGGAGGCAGCAGUAGGGAAUCUUCCACAAUGGACGCAAGUCUGAUGGAGCAACGCCGCGUGAGUGAAGAAGGUUUUCGGAUCGUAAAGCUCUGUUGUUGGUGAAGAAGGAUAGAGGUAGUAACUGGCCUUUAUUUGACGGUAAUCAACCAGAAAGUCACGGCUAACUACGUGCCAGCAGCCGCGGUAAUACGUAGGUGGCAAGCGUUGUCCGAAUUUAUUGGGCGUAAAGCGAGCGCAGGCGGAAGAAUAAGUCUGAUGUGAAAGCCCUCGGCUUAACCGAGUAACUGCAUCGGAAACUGUUUUUCUUGAGUGCAGAAGAGGAGAGUGGAACUCCAUGUGUAGCGGUGGAAUGCGUAGAUAUAUGGAAGAACACCAGUGGCGAAGGCGGCUCUCUGGUCUGCAACUGACGCUGAGGCUCGAAAGCAUGGGUAGCGAACAGG
rnacentral:rRNA from 1 species